UACGUAGGUGGCAAGCGUUGUCCGGAAUUAUUGGGCGUAAAGCGCGCGCAGGCGGCCUUUUAAGUCUGAUGUGAAAGCCCACGGCUCAACCGUGGAGGGUCAUUGGAAACUGGGGGACUUGAGUGCAGGAGAGAAGAGUGGAAUUCCACGUGUAGCGGUGAAAUGCGUAGAGAUGUGGAGGAACACCAGUGGCGAAGGCGACUCUUUGGCCUGUAACUGACGCUGAGGCGCGAAAGCGUGGGGAGCAAACAGG
rnacentral:rRNA from 1 species